rnacentral:lncRNA from 1 species
GGGAUCGGGCUGUAGAUCGCCGGAUCGGGAGCGGGGCGACGGGGAGCUCCGACGAACGGGGGCUGCAGGGGCUCGUCCAUGGCGUUGCAUAUGUCUGAAAUAGAACAGGAGAAGGGAGAAUUCAGAGAGAGGGAAAAUAGCAGAAGGGGAGAAGAAAGAGAGAGAGAGAGGACAGGGGCCUCGCGUCGCACUUGUUGCCCCGAACGUCGGUGGCACGUAGCUCCUCCCGUGCUGCUGCGUGCCGGCGGCUUGCCGGCCAGCGAUAGGUCAGAGAGGCAGGCGCGCAGGUGCCGGGUGGGGGAAGGCAAAGAGGCGACGAGCACGAGGGACAGCGCACCAUGGAGUUCCUUCGAAGCUGCUGAACCUGUAGAAAGAGAAGGUGAGAGACGAGGGGAGAACCAGAGAGAGGGGAACAGAGGCGAGGGAGGAAGAAGAGAGGCAAGGGGAGGCAUGGCUCUGCUCACCAGCAGAAGGACGAGGCGGGGUUCCCGAGGUCGGGAGUGAGAGACGGCAUGGAUCCGAUCAUUGGCGAGACAGCGGGCGGGUCAGCGAGCUUGCUGCUGGAGAAGACAUGGCGUUGCACGCGAGCGCUCUGGUUGGCCCGAUGGGGAAAUCGAGGUGGUGGCGGCGGC